UUAAGUUCAGCGGGUAGUCCUACCUGAUUUGAGGUCAGAGCAAAAGAUGUCAGAAGACGGAUUAGAAGCGGUCUCCAGCCUUCACCAGCGAAACUUAUUACGCCAGAUUCAACCUUGAACCGCUAACACCAUUAAGGCGAGCCAGACGGCAACACCCAAGUCCAUCGUCAUCGGAAACCCGAUGGGAUGAGAUUUUCAUG
rnacentral:misc_RNA from 1 species